AUUAGACAGAAGCUAAGCAAACCUGUGCAAUGCUAAUGGCGACGGAUCAUCUUAAAACGUUUGGAAAUUGGAACUGCUUGAAGAUUGCGCACUGCCUUUGCGAACAACCUGUAAUGCAAAAAGAUAUAAAGUUGGACAACUCAAGCCUGCCUAGAAAUCUCACAACCAACGCAACACAAAACACACCCACGUCAAUCCCACAUACCAGAACCACAACCAACACUGAACGACACUCAACGCAAAUCCGAUGGAUUCGGGACAAUCUCAAUGAGUGUUUUGUCAACUACAAUAACUUAACCAUCACCGACGCACGGGCAGUCUGCAAGAUGUCAAACGCGACGCUGGUUGCGUUUAUGGACACUUAUCAGUACUUUAAGCUAAGCGGCAGACUUCAACGUGAUGCGGCUGGAUAUUGGGUCGACGACGCCAUGCCUGCUAACGACUCUACGUGUCUGAAGUUGAACACCGCUGAAGGAAGUCUUCAGUCACGUGAGUGCAGUGAACUGGCCUACAGCAUACGUAACUGAUUUGCAUUCCAAAACAACAUUUCACAGGUUCUGGAGCGACAAGAGUUUGUUGAAAUGAUUCGAGAGAUGACAAUAGUGAAAAACAUGACGUCAAAUGCUUUGAGGAAACUGACGUCUGCUGAAGACAAGAGGACCCUAGCUAAAGUCAGCGGAACUGUCGCCAUUUGCAUGAUGGCGGGAAUCUUCUUGAUUGUAUUCUUGAACGAUUUUUCGCGGAUUCUGAGAACAUUUUUUUAAUUAAAAUUUCUUAAAUUACUGUAAGAAAACAGACACAUCUUAUUACCAACUAGAAAGCUUCUUUGUCUGAGUACAUGACAGGUAGAUAUUUUAUUGAUAUAGCGGAUGAUUAAUUAAUGUUAAAUAGUUUUCACAAUGUUAUAUCAAUGUAUAACUUGCUAUGCAGAGUGUUUCCAGUAUAUGUACAUGUAAAGA